GACGAACGCUGGCGGCGUGCCUAAUACAUGCAAGUCGAGCGCAGGAAACUGACGGAACUCUUCGGAGGGAAGGCAGUGGAAUGAGCGGCGGACGGGUGAGUAACACGUAAGGAACCUGCCUCAAGGAUUGGGAUAACUCCGAGAAAUCGGAGCUAAUACCGGAUAGUUCAACGGACCGCAUGGUCCGCUGAUGAAAGGCGCUUCGGCGUCACCUUGAGAUGGCCUUGCGGUGCAUUAGCUAGUUGGUGGGGUAACGGCCCACCAAGGCGACGAUGCAUAGCCGACCUGAGAGGGUGAUCGGCCACACUGGGACUGAGACACGGCCCAGACUCCUACGGGAGGCAGCAGUAGGGAAUCUUCCACAAUGGACGAAAGUCUGAUGGAGCAACGCCGCGUGAGUGAUGAAGGUUUUCGGAUCGUAAAACUCUGUUGUAAGGGAAGAACACGUACGAGAGGUAAUGCUCGUACCUGACGGAC
rnacentral:rRNA from 1 species